UAGGGAAUCUUGGACAAUGGGCGAAAGCCUGAUCCAGCCAUGCCGCGUGAGUGAUGAAGGCCUUAGGGUUGUAAAGCUCUUUCGCCAGGGAAGAUAAUGACGGUACCUGGAUAAGAAGCCCCGGCUAACUUCGUGCCAGCAGCCGCGGUAAUACGAAGGGGGCUAGCGUUGUUCGGAAUUACUGGGCGUAAAGCGCACGUAGGCGGCUUUCCAAGUUGGAGGUGAAAUCCCCGGGCUUAACCCGGGAACUGCCUCCAAAACUGAAAGGCUAGAGUCCGAGAGAGGUGAGUGGAAUUUCCAGUGUCGAGGUGAAAUUCGUAGAUAUUGGAAAGAACACCAGUGGCGAAGGCGGCUCACUGGCUCGGUACUGACGCUGAGGUGCGACAGCGUGGGGAGCAAACA
rnacentral:rRNA from 1 species